ensembl:lncRNA
CUCGAUUUUUGACCAUUUCUUGGUUGGGGCACAAUCUCAGUAUUUUCUCCCCAAGUGAUUCAACCCCAAGCCAAUAGCUAUGAGCUGAGCCUCUUUUUCUUGUUGUAAAACUUAGUUGUUAGGUUACUGAGACUUUUUAAGUCCACUCCUUUCUCUAGGUUUAAGUUUGUCAUCAGAACUUGGUUUUUGUCUCUGAAAAUGAUGUCUCACUUGGCCAAGAUUAUACAACGCAUUGCUCUGUAUUGGAAUAGACUGAUCUGGUCGAUCAGGGUUAUAAACCACGUAUGUGUCUUUACUGGUGUUUUGUUCUUUUUUUUCAAAGACCUUAUUUUUUCCUUUUUCUCCCCAAAGCCCCUCCAGUACAUAGUUGUAUAUUCUUCAUUGUGGGUCCUUCUAGUUGUGGCAUGUGGACGGUGCCUCAGCGUGGUUUGAUGAGCAGUGCCAUGUCCGCACCCAGGAUUCGAACCAGCGAAACACUGGGCCGCCUGCAGCGGAGCGCGCAAACUUAACCACUCGGCCACGGGGCCAGCCCCUUUACUGGUGUUUUAUUACCAUUAGUGGAACCACCAGGAUUUCAUUCCCCAUGAGUUGAGUCUGUGUGCUCAGCAACCCCCUGCAGGAUAUGAAGGAAAUUUAUUUCCUUGGAAUACACCCCCGAGUCUUCUUUUUGUUUGGUUGUUGUGACUGACCCCUGGUGCUGAUAAACUGUUGGACCCCCUUUCCAUGUAGUUAUUCUACACUUUCUAUUAACUCAUUAAUUAGAAGCUCACACCCCUUUAUAGACUCCACUUGUUUCAAUUAACCUUCGUAUAUUUUCAUGCUGAAAUCACCCCAUCAUGAUCACUGCCUGAGCUUGACUCACCUGAAAAGUAUCUUCUAAGUAAUUAACCUUGGAAGGUGCCUUGUUUGAAGGCUCCAGCCAAUCCAGGGUUCUUCCCAUCUUCACUCCAACGACGGGCAGUGAGGACAAGGGCAGUCUCGGCCACACAUGCACAGGCUGUUUUGUGAGGAGCAGAGACAGGAUGACGUCUCUCCUUCCUUGGCUGAUUUUGGAACCGUCUGAGAGGCUAGGAGCAAACACAGGUGGGUCCUAAAUCCAGUGACAAGUGUCCUUAUAAGAGACACGCAGAGGAGAGAGAUAAAGCCACGUGAAGACGGAGGCAGAGAUUAGAACGAUGCAGCCACAAGCCAAGGACACCUGGAGUCACCAGAAACCUAACAAGGCAAGGAAGGAGUCUCCUCUAGAGCCUUCAGAGGGCCUGUGGCCCGGACAACACCUUGAUUUUGGACUUCUGGUCUCCAGAACGGUGAAAGACUAAAUUUCUGUUGUUUUCAGCCACCAAGUCUGUAGUAAUUUGCUACAGCAGCUUCAGGAAACUAACACAACAUGUAAAAUAGUUUCAAAAUUGCUAACCGGACCCUUAGGAGAAACAAAUUUACCAACUAGAGCACAAUGUUUGUAUAUAGUUCUUUUUGUCUGCCCCACAGUGUCCAGUUAAAAUACUGUUUUUCUAAGCUACUUAGGUCAACUCCACUGUAUGUACGCUUUUUUUGGUCUGACUUCUUCCAUUCAGCAUGAUUUUGCUAUUCACUGUUGUUGAGUGUGUCAAAAAUGUGUUCCCUUUUAUUGCCGAAUAGUGUUCCAUUACAUGGAUAGACCACAUUUGUUGAUCCAGACGUGGUGCUAAUAGACAGAUUCGGGGGUUUUCAAGUUUUUGGUUGUUACAAAUAAAGCUGCUGAGAACAUUCUUAUGGAAGUCUUUGUGUAGCCACAUAUUUUAAAUUCUAUUGGAUAAAUACCUAGGAGUAGAAGAGCUGGGUCAUGUGGUAGGUGUAUGCUUACAUUUUUAAGAAACUGCCAAG